UCCGAACCUAUCAGCGCUCUGGAAAAUGCCAACUACUAGACAGAUGCCGUGUCUGUGACUCCAGUCGAGCUGACAGUCUGUGAUUGGGCUCUUGGCAGUUGCAGUGGGAGUGGCAGACUCGCUGGCACCCGAGCGAGCUCUGGACGAAUGUGAUGUGAAUUUUUGCAGAAGGAAAUCAAGAGAAUCAGCUGCAAGACAGACACAGAUAUGCGUAUGUUAAUGCUUUAC